UACGUAGGGUGCAAGCGUUGUCCGGAAUUAUUGGGCGUAAAGAGCUCGUAGGCGGUCUGUCGCGUCUGCUGUGAAAACUCGGGGCUUAACCCCGGGCCUGCAGUGGGUACGGGCAGACUAGAGUGCGGUAGGGGAGACUGGAAUUCCUGGUGUAGCGGUGAAAUGCGCAGAUAUCAGGAGGAACACCGGUGGCGAAGGCGGGAUCUCUGGGCCUACUGACGCUGAGGACGAAAGCUGGGGAGCGAACAGG
rnacentral:rRNA from 1 species